GUUCAAGUUCUCAUUAAUUAUAUC
rnacentral:snRNA from 1 species